UCAAUGGCUAAAUUGUCCCAAUUUGGUAAGGAUGUUUAGUUUUAAGUGAUUCAAAAAUGCUUUUUUUUAAUGCUGUGCCUUUGAAAUGACAGAGUAUAUACUGAGACCACUUAGUAAGACUAAUGCUGAUACUAAAUGUUGAAACAAGGAUCAUAAACACAGAGCUCCAAGGAGGUUUCAAAUUUAACUCUCUUAGAUUUCUAAACUCUCUCAGACAUUUGACCUAUAAGCCUGGUUGUGCAAAUAGAAGUCUUUAUCACAUUUAUGUUGCCUGGGAGGCUAUUUUUAUAUGUACAAUGUGGAGGACUGAAUUUAAUAAGGGUCAAACACAAAGGGAACGAAAGUGGGAACCUAUUCUGAGGCAGUUCCCUUUGGGCUGUAUCCUGCCAUCAUCCGCCAUGUGGAACUCCCACGGAAAUCAAUGCAAGUUUAAAAUAAAUAUCAAUGGCAGGAUAUGGUCCAAAAUUAUUAAUGAAAAACCUGAAGCUGACAGGUUAAUUGUUUUCCAAUACUAUUGGCCUUAGGCAACGACUACAUGACAGAAAACCAACAUUUUGUCUGGGGACAAAUUAGUCAACACCAUUCUGAGCUGAUUAUGGUACUGGAAUGAAUUUGAAUGAAUUUAUAAAAGCAUGUUUUGAAACAACUUUUUAGUUAAUACAAUUUCUCUUGUUGAGUUCUUUUCUUCUUUCUUUAGUUUGUGAUUAAUUUUCAUCAAUAUUAAUUUUAUUGCUAUGAUUCCAAAGACUGAUUGAUAAGUAUCCCUUUGCCAUCUCUUCUCUCCUUUCUUCUCUUCCCCAAACUUGGCUUUUCAAGACUGUUUAUUAGAAGAAUAGUAGAGUUAAGCAAUUUACCCAAAGGCAUUCACUAGUUAGAAGUAGAACUGGGAUUUCAGAGUAAUUUUUGUAAUUGCAUUCUCUCAUUAGACCCAGUAUAUAAACUAUGCAGCAUUGUUUAUCACUUACUGAGCCCAAUUCCAUAUCCUCCUAAUGGGGAAGUGUGUUGUAAUGGCUCCAAAUAAUAUGUUUUGUCUUUGCUUUGGUGGGGAGCUGAGGAAAAUCACAUUAAAGUUCUUAGCAGGAAUGGCAUAUCUGUCAGUCAUUAAACAAUAAACUUUUAUUAAGUAGUUACUAUAUGCUAAGAACUGUACUAAGUUCAAUGGUUGCAGAGAAAGAUAAAAGCCUAUUCCUGACCCCAAAGAGUUAAUAACCUAACAUAAAAUCACUCUUUACAAACAAGGGCUCUUUCAGGGCUCCUACAUUCAUGCUUCUGCCCCAAAUGGCAUUCAGGGUAUAUUUCUAGGUUAAAAUACAGGAGAACACAGAGGGAGAAAGCACAUCCUCUUUUCUACCUCCGCAUUCUUCAUGGGAGAAGAAACAUAUUUCCUCCUCACAUCACCUUGUCUGGGAAUUGCAAACAUCCUUGGAUUUAAUCAUCAUUAUACCCCUUUUCUUGAAUCCUCCAUUGGUGCACAUGGACCUGCCUAUUGCUUGGUUGGGGACCUGGAGGUCAGGAAUUCCCAGUGAUGGUGACAUGCUCUAGUCUGUCAGCAUUUUCAGUCUCUUUCUUUCCUUUCCAGGCACACAAGUGGGACUAGAUUCAACUGGAAUGAUCUGCUUGUGUAAGGAUUUUCAUCACAGGAAGCUCUAGGAUCAGUAGUGAUAUCAGUACUAGUUGACUUUAAAGUAUCUUCGCAUUUCUUUCCUUGUCUCUAUCACUAUCCCUAAAUCUGCCACAUGUGCCAAAAUUCCCAAUAAAAGCUCUGAAAUUUGUAGAGCCCUAAGGGGCUUGAGUUCCCCAGCUAGAGGUUGUCUAAUUCAAUUUGGCCUUUCUUUUGGUGAGGAAACAGAGCUUCACAAAAGUUAAGUGCUCAAGAUCAUACAUGUAACUAUUGAGAUAACUAGUAUUACAAUCCAGGUCUUGUAAAUUCUAGACUGUUUCUCUUCUUUCUAAACCAUGAUCACUUUAUUUAUCUCCAGAACUGAGAUCCAGAGGGGACAAAUGGAUUGCCAAGAGUUACAGUUAUCACUUGAAAUUGCUAUCCUUUUCACAGGAUAUAGAAGAAUAUGCCUGAGCCAAAUUGAGCAUCUAGUUUAUAGUUUCUUGGAAGGGAGAUAAGAGAAGGUAGCUAAGCUUACAUUGAGGCAAUCUGAAGAAUCUAUCUCUCAGCAAGGUCCCUCCAAGUUAAGGUACAAUCCAAUUCUAAAUCCAAAAGUUGCUGAAAGACAACUAGUAGUCUUCAUGGAAAAUAUACAAUUUUCAAGAAAUCUAGAAAAUACUGCCUCCCAAGUGGUCAAAUUCAUCCUCCUCCAUUUCAUGAACAAAAAAUGGCCAAAUCAAAGUUAUCACCAUAGUAACUUUGUGUCAUCUGUUAUCAUUGUCUAUACCCUUUCUUAGACUUGGUGCCAACUCAUGGCCAUCCUUUUCCUUAAAGGGAUAUAUAAUACCAAGUGACAAAAGGGUGCCCAAAGAAAUUCACCCAGGAAUAAUAGACCUCCCUUAAGAUAAACUGUUUCAGACAAAGAAAUCUCAUUUGGCUCCUUUUCUUUCUUUGUUUCCAAAUCAGCAUAUGUAGAAUGAGCCAGCUCUCCCUGCUGUUAUCUCUUGCCUUUGGGCAAACCGAACAUGAAAAAUAAGUUGGUGUUAUCCUCAAAGCCACUGGCAAUAGCUGCUGCUUGCUGCCCCCACAGCUCAGCAGUUCUGAUUUCUUUGACAUGGUUCUAGGCACCCUGUGGAUCAACACCCAUUCCAAAUCGUAUCUCAUGAGCACCUCCUGAUAUACUUUCCUUUUGCUAGACAUCUAGAAGAUGCGUUGAUCUGAAAGAGGACCAUUAAUGAAACAUCGCUGAAAACACAAGAGAAAAGUUGUCAUUUGCUCACUUUUAUAGACUUGCAUGGACAAGUGAUUGCUCUGACCACAGACCGUUCUCCUGCGUCCCAGAUAGUUAAUCAUCUUGGCAGCAAUCCAAGUCACUGAAAAUCAAUUAGGAAUUAUAUAUUUCCUCUCCACAUGAUGACUUGAGUAGGUCCCCAUUAGAUGCAACAAAGGCUUCCUGCCCUAUAGACUCAUCACAUUAAUUGUGGAGCUCAUCAGAUUGUUCGAGGGAUUUUUCCUAUUCAAGGUGCUUUACAAGGUAAUAAUAUUAGCUGGCAUUCAUAUGUUGCUUUGAUAUUUUCAAUGGAACUGGAAGGGAUCUGAGACGUCAUCUGAUCUGACCCUACCUUUGUACAGUUAAAGAAACUGAGUCCCAGGGAUUAAAAUGAUUUGCCUAAAGGUGUCAGAAUUAGAAUAUGGAUGUAAAUAAGCCUUGAAGGCUGCUGCUCUUUUCCUUAUAUCAUGCUUCUUUGGAAGAAAGAAUACAACAAAGGAGCUUUUAUUUGUGGGACUCUAGGGUCCAAAUAGUUUUGAAAACAACCUGUUAGCAGGAAAAAUUGUGGUGCCCCACAUCAACUCUAAAAGCUGAGCAUAGAUUGAAUUUAUUAACAAGGGAACUGUUAAAGGAAGCCUGAAAUAUUUCAACAUGUUUCUACAUUUACUUUUGGUUGAAAAAUGUUGUGAUCUCAUUAUAGUUUCCUUCCCGUGCUCUCUCGAAUGAAAACUUCUACUCAAAGCA